rnacentral:rRNA from 1 species
CUGAACCUUCUUCUAGCCUGAUCUCGUCAGACCUCAGAAGGUAAGCAAGACUGGCCCUGGUCAGUACUGGGAUGGAAAACCUCAAAGUAAGGUCAAGUUUCUGC